ACAGCAGAGCCCCAAGUGCUCUUUUUGGACAGAAAGCCAGAGGAAAGCUGAAUGUGUUUUCUCUAAAGCAUCUGCAUUGCCAGCACUGGAAAAUGCUCAGGAUUUCUAAAAGCUGCUACUGCAGAUAGUUUGACCAAAGCUGGCACUUGAAAGACAAAUCACCCAGAAUCAAAGAGACACAGUCCUGAACGUUCCAACUGGCUUAUCCCAGGAAGCUGAUGGAUAAAAUGAGCAUCAGAGUGUUUUUGCACAGUUGGAACUGUUCUCAGGAUCUAAAUACAUCCAGAUCAACAUUUCCUUUGUUAUAUACUGUACUCUUGUAGUAGAAAUCUUUCUACUGAGCAUGGAUUUUUAAAGACAUCUUCAAUUCUGUAUGUUGUAAGUACUGUUUUACAUCAUCUCUGAUAGAAAUACAAACUUUCCUGUAAGUGCUUAUUAGCUUCAUUAAACAAAAAAUAUUUUUCACAUACACAAAAGAUAAAAAUCUGACAGCUGAGUCAUAAAGACUACACAUGCUCUACUAUUUUUCUCUGUGUGACAGCUAGUCCUUUGAGAAAACAAUGCCUUUUGUGACAGAUUCUUACAGGCACUAGUCCAGAGAAAUACUAAUGGAAGCUUUAGUCAGAUUACCUGUUAAAUCUAUUGGUAAAUAACUGGCAAUUUCUCUUCCUCUGGUGGAGUUGUUCUCAGCUCAGCACAGGACUGGUGAGGGGAUGUGCUAUCUGCUGCGAUUAUCCUGAUCUGAUACAGUAUAGAACUGUCUUAGGACUAUAAUAAAUUGCACUUAAUUCCCCCUAAAAUGGACUUUUUUUAUCCUCAGAUUGUCACACUUACCAGAAUGUCCAUCACUUGGAGCCACUAGAGCUUUAAAAAGAAACAGAGGACAGAGUCAAUCCAAGCAAUUGUUCUCAUCAAAUUAUUUUAGAACAAAUGAACUUUGAAGAAUAAUAUGCAUUCAUACUCCCACUUCUCAGCAGGCCCUCAUGAGUCAUGGGUAGAAAUUAAAAAAAAAAAAGAAUUAAACCUAGGUUGAUAGGUUAUUAGAAUAAUUUCUAGCAUUUAUAAGCUACAUUGGAUAACUUCAAAGAGUUUUGGAAGAUUUUGUUCUCAACAGAUGAAGACUUAACAAGGCAGAAGCAAUCACAUAUACUUAAAUACAUAUUAUGGAACCAGCCAUGAGGACAUGAGAAAGGUAGCCUAAUAGCAGGAAAUGUUGAGGUUGUAUGGUUUGGGGUUAUUUUGAAAUAGAUACUGCAAAAAUCACUAUAAGGGAAUGAUCAGUACUUGUUUCAAUGGUCACUCACACCUACAUUUGAAACUUUAAUUAUAGUUAUGAUGUAAAACCACAGUGUAUUUUAAGUAUCUUUCUAGACAUGUCACAGAACAAAUAUUAGCAAUGAAAUUGCAGUAUGACUGCAACUUCA
rnacentral:lncRNA from 1 species